rnacentral:tRNA from 1 species
GCCUGGGUGGCUCAGUCGGUUGAGCGGCUGACUUCGGCUCAGGUCAUGAUCUCGCAUCCCGUGAGUUCAAGCCCCGCGUCGGGCU